rnacentral:lncRNA from 1 species
GGGCGGGGAAAAUGGCACUGCUUGGACCAGAGUGGGCAAUGGAGGUGGUCAGAAAUGGAUGGAUUCUGGAAAUAUUUUGAAGAUUGAAUUGACACUAUUUGUGGAGGAUUGAUAUAACAGAAAGGAGCCAAGGAUGACUCAAGUUUUUGGCCAGAGAUUAUUCGAAAGCCCUUAUGAGACUGCAGAUGUGGACGUGAAAUCGUUUUGUA